ACUGCCACACCUGCAGUAUAUGGAAGUUACUGCGCUAGCGGUCACGUCGGGGAUGCAGCUGCUGGCCUUGCCACAGCAACACCAGAUCCGAGCCACAUCUGUGUCUCAGGCACCUAUGCCACAACUUACAGAAACACUGGAUCCUUAACCCACUGAGUCACAAGGGGAACUCCAGAUUUUUUUUUUUUUUAAGGAUUAUACCCAACAUCUCUUCUCCCUUGAAUGAGCACCAGAAUUGUCAGGUGACUGAAUCACUAGGCUUUGAGAACUAAUUCAUUCCUAAUGAAGUGGUGGAUUCCUACAUAGGCCUGCCUGAAUAGCCACUAAGAAGCUUCUCACUUGCAGUAGGCAUGGCUACAGAGUCCAGGCAGGAGAGACUGGAGGCCAAUUUGCUGUUCUAUAUUUGGCAGUAAUGCAGCUGACUCUGGCUAAAGCAAUACAGAAAAAAACUUUAUUCAACCAAAGCCUAUGUAAAUGGUGAUUAGUUAAGAUUUUGCUUUCCACAUUCUUUCAUGAGAAAGGCACCCAUACCCUUUCCCCAGGCCACCUCACAUAAAGCAAGCAACGAUCAGGAUUCAGUUGAAAGUCUGUUCAACAUCCAGCCAGAGUAAAUCAUUUAGAAUGAAACCGAUUCAGCCUGAUCAGGUAAACAAGUUUUAAAUUGGUACAAAUUGAUUUAUUUCUAUUACUUACAAUCUGAAUAAAGAGCUAUGUGAAACUGUAUCUCAACCUUUCUUUACAUGCAUUACUUUUGAGUGUCUUCUACAAGAUGCCCACUUAGAUAUCAACUAAAUAACUAUAUGUCAAGUCACCUGGCCAUCACCUUCAUUUCUCUAGUCAUGAGGCAAAAUAAAGUAUCAAACAGCCAAAAUCUGAUGGAAGGAACUGGUCUCUUCUGCAUGGCAGACUGAAUAUAGGAAAAGGAGAAAGCUGGGUCUUCAAUAAUAAUUCCUAUAGUGCUACUGAUCCCCAGUCUUAUUUAGUCCAAUGUGUCAAUUCCUGUAAAUUGGCAUAUAUUAUGUGUGCACUAUUUUCAGAGCAUCCUAUGACUAUUAGGGUUCUUCAAGACCAGGUUGGAAAAGAUGAUUUUACUUCAAUGGCAUGUUGCUAUUGCCAGAGCUCUUGGCACUGAGAGUGAUAUCUCGGUGGAUUACAAUUAUAAUCAUUCCAAAGAGGAACAAAAAAAAAAAAAAAAAAAAGAUUGAAUAAUUUUUCACUUUCAGAAUCCCUGAAGCAUGAUGACUCAGUGCUAUAGCUAACUUUGACAAAAGCACUGAGAGCUUUUAAACUUAUCUCUAGGUCAAACCCCUUAACACACCAGUGACUCAGUUUUCUUAUUUGUACAACAGCAGUAAGCUGCCUGACAACACAGAGUCACAUUACCAUGUUAUGGCAUUCUGUAUAAUAAUGUUAGAACUAUCGAAGUGCAAAAAAGCCAUGAAACCAUCCAAUCACAAUACAAUGGAUUCAGGUAAUGUAAGGGGUUAACAAUAAUGCUCCAUCUUUGCAUAGCAAUACAGAAUGUCCUAUAUGCUUUCAUAUUCAUUAUUGUGCUUUAUCUAAACCACCUUGUGAAGCAAAUCAGGCAGGCAUUAUCUCUGACUGACAGACAAGUAAUCAAGGGUUCAAAUCUCUGGUAUUAAAUAGCUCAUCAGAGACCACAAGCAAAUAAAAGACAGAAAAGGUACUAGGACCCAGGUCCUUAAGUCCUCCAUUCAGUAUUCUUUUGCCAAUAAUCUGAUAUCUUCUAAUAACAAUAAAAUGCUACUUGGAUUAUCAUCAGUUUUGAUACUGGUUCUCCACGUGGAUGUUCAGGCUGUAACAUCACAAGAAUCCAACCCAACAAGGCGGGGAGGGAUGAGAUCUUCCAGCCCAAAAGUUUCUUGGCUUUCAAAAUUAUAGAAAGGACACAGAAGAAUGUACAAAUAGGAUGUAUACUCCAUCAGAUGAACCUGAGAAAAAACGGCACAUUUCUUUUUUGAAAAGCCUCCUUUCAACAAUUUACACUCUCAAAAUGUCUGGCCUAUAGGAAAAUAAUUUCCAGCUAAUAAUCAUGAGUUGAAUAGUUUUGCAACACUGGUCAGCAAGGUUUUCAAGAACAGGCCUAAAGCUGGAUCCUUGCCCAUAAGCACUUUAAAAUCUUUUGGAGAUACGAAAUCAGCAUGUAACUUUCAGACUCAUGAUGGUUAGGAAUUCAGAAUAAGGAAAAGCCUUCAGUAAGCUGAAGGUUUCAUGAAAGAAUGAGAGAAGUAUGAGGCACCAGUGGGACUUUGAGAAGUGGAUUUAAUUUAUAAAGGACAAACACAGUGGGCAUUCAGAUUGGUGAGGAUGUGCAGGGUGGGUAGCAGAAAGAAAAGGCAAUGGAGCGGCAGGAGGAAACUGAGAUGCAGAGAAACGCGCUCAGUAAAUGGGCGAGCUAGUAAAAUGAAUGAAUCGAUGUGCUACAAUUAGAAUCCAGGUCUCACCCCCUAAACAUGGAACUCUUAUGCCAUUCUGCUCCUUCUAACUUGUCUUCCUGCCUCCACUCUGGCACCCCUGUCCAAGAAGUUCUCCAAUGUCUUACAUUUCUUUCUGAAACACAAUUCUGAUCUGGUGAGUCCCCUGCUUAAAUGGCUUCAAUGACUUGAUUGUGGCUUUCAGAAAGAAGUUGAAACUCCAACAUGGCAUAAUAAUAUCCAUCAUGAUCUUUUCUCUUUUCCAGCAGGUCCACCAUAUGUAACCUUUGUUUCAGCCACUAACAUCUACCCACAGCUCCCUUACCGGGCAUUCUACCACAUUUCUCUCUACCUUUGUGUACGUUGUUCUUUCACCCUUAGAGGCCUUUCCCUCCCCUUCUUCAAUUAAUGCCUUAUUCUUGGUGCAAAAGUCACCUACUAUGCUAAGCCUUCCUUUACCACACUCAAGCAGCCAAUUAGUUUCAGAUGCCUGUCAAAUUUCUCAUUCUCCCUCCUAAGCAUAUUCCCAUCCUUCCUUAUCACACAGCUCUUUAAUAGUGAAUUAACUUCCCUGUCUCCCUCACUGGACAACCGCAUCUUUAUAUCACCAACCUUCAGAAUAAUGCCUAGUGUGUAGUAACUGCUCAGUAAUGUUGCAUAAAUGAACCCAUUUGCUCAGUCUUUAUCAGUUAAAACCCAAACAUGAUUUAUCCAAUUAAAAACAAAUAACCAAAUAUUCAGGAAGUUAUAUAAGAACCAGAACAUUAACUUCUGUUACUUCAAGUUACUAAUGUGACUGUUUUCUAAACAACCAAAGCCUUCAGGAAUUUUACAGAAACACAAAGUCAAAAUGCAAAAACAUCAAAGAAUGUUAAGCCACAGUACAACACAGUAUAUGUGUGAGGGGUGCUGGGUCUACCAUAACACUAGCUUCUCUUCAUGGUUAAAUAUGUAGGAUUUAGGAUGUAUCCUUCAUUAACACUUCUAGAGCUCUCUGUACUAUUUGAGGUGACAAAAUACAUUCCACGGUUGACAUCAAAUUACUAGUUAAGACUCAUGCUGCUUGAUGACAUGCUACAAUCUGGGCCUAAACAGAUAGCUACAUAAAAUACAAAGCUCUACUACUAAGGCAUUAUUCAAAAUGUGAUGAGUCCAAAACAAGGUUGCAUUCAUUAAAAACCAAAAUAAAAAGUCAUUAUGAGGAUGCACAGAUGGAGAAAAGAACAGUAAGUUUUGUUAUAUUUUGAUUUAAUUAAUCUCAAACAGAAGUCCUUGAAGUCAUGAGACGUCGCUCUGAAAAAAUUCUAAUACUCAUUAAAAGAUAUAUAUAAAUGAAAGCAGUUCUCUAUAGAACACAUGCCUUCCUUUUCCAGUUUCCCAGAACAAUGAGCAACUAAAUGAAAACAAUUGAAUCACAAGCCUUACACUAUAUGAAUCUACUACACCAUAGCUAUUGAGUUAAAUUUUCUAUGUAGUAGAAACUUUCAUUUUAGCUAAUACCAUAUAGAUGUGUGUAAUUAACUGUUUACUCCCAGAUGAACUAUCUUCAACAUCAACCACCUGUGUGAUCCACGAUAUUUCCCUUCUCUCUUGUCGGUGACCUCCCCCUCUUCCCAGUUUAAGUGUAAUCAACUGGCAUUUCCUUUUCUCUCUCUGGUAACUCAAUAGUUCUUAUUCUUCUAUAGGAGACAGAUUCCUUUGAGAAACUGAUAAAAACUAUGGGGCCCAGAAAAAUGAAUGUACCUACAUAUACACUCAAAUUUUUCAGUUUCAGUUUAAGAACUCUUACCCUUACCCCCAUAAUCACCUACACAAAUUAUUUCUACUACCAUAUGGCUCUCUUUUAUGAUCCCCCACUGCAACUCCUUUACACAAACAUAAUUAAGGACUGCUACAGUGAUUAACAACAUUAACACAGAAAAUUAAAUGUUGUCUAGGUAAAGAUGUAUUUUACUAGCAAUAUUUUACGAAGCCCAGAUGAACUCCUCUCUAAAAGGCCUUAGAAGACCAUGUAGACCACUUCAAUAAGACAACUCAAAAGGAGUAAGGCAUUUAUUUAAAAAGUUUACCAAGUCUUGUUAUUUAGACAACGUUCCUUAAAAAUGUGCUGAAAUGUCUUCCUAAAUUUGUUUUAGUUAACUCUGACAUACUUGCUUGUAAAAUAACGUAUGGCUUAAAAGUUAUUUUGAGCAAAAAAGUCCCUAUUGAUAUUAAACUCUUGGAUUCAAACUCUUGUUCUGCUAUACCAAGCUAGGCACUGAAAGUGAUACCAUCUCAUAACUAUCUAGUUACCUUGUCAAAGCAUAAAAGAUGAAACAGGACAAAUGGCCAAAUGGAAGGGAAGAAUAUAACCAAGGUGUUAUUCCUGAGAUGAGUGCUUUUUCCUUAAGCGCAUAGAUCCUAAAAGUGGAAAGUUCUUGCUGAAAGUAUCAAACUGUGGAAACUAUCAGCUCACUUUAAUUUUUCGCUAAAACUUUUCCUCACCGUUUAAACCACAGUUUUGUACUGAGUCCAAAAGAAAAUAAAAAGGAAACGCGGUCACUUUUCUACCACAAAUUGAUAAAUUUCAAAAUCACAACAUCACAAUUUUUAAACACAUUAAAUUCUGGUGACACCCACAAAACUUCGAAGUUUUUACAAUAGGAGCACCAUUAACCCUCUGCCAGCAAAGACAAUUCACAAAGAACUUGUGACUCAAUUUCUUCACUUGUAAAUACCUGGGGGUGGGGGGUGGAGGGAGUGAGAAUUACAUCAAGUAAUUCUCAAUUUGCCUCAAGUUAGGGUGGACUUGAUGAGACGUUAGACCUGGUUAUUUUAUUCUACCCACCAGGUCCCUCUCCACAUAACAGAAGACUCCGUAUUUCCUAUAACCAUAACACUUCGAUCACUGUUUUCCAAUAUGGACAAUCCAUAAUUGAAAGGCAAAUAGGAGGCAUGAGAACAACAGGUACAUACCAAAUGGCCAGAUGCCAUAAGGGCUUUAGUUAUAUGUCACUGCCUCCUUCCUUCUUAGAAUCAAGCUGCCGGUUAAAACUGAAAACUAGAUAUGCAACACGUGGCUUGUGCUUCAGACCUCAACUAAGAAACUUCACAUUGAAGUUGUAUUAGCUGAAAUUGUUCAGGAAAACCAUCUGCCUUCAUGCUACCCGAAUUAGAAAGUUUAUUGAUAAAUGUCUGCCUCUAUCGGCUAAGGGUUGGCAGAAACAGUCUUUAGCUAAUAUGCUUUAUUAAUUUCACCAGUUUUUAGGUUUCACUAUUAUUAAACUGUUUUCCUAUAAACUGAAGAAAAAAAAAAAAAAAAA
rnacentral:lncRNA from 1 species